CAAUAGCGUAUAUUAAAGUUGUUGCGGUUAAAAAGCUCGUAGUUGGAUUUCUGUUGAGGGUGGCCAGUCCGCACUUCGUGCGUGUAUUUGGUUCAGCCUCGGCAUCCUCCUGGGGAGCGUAAUUGCACUUGAUUGUGUGAUACGUAAUUCAGGACUUUUACUUUGAGGAAAUUAGAGUGUUCACGGCAGGCGUUCGCCUUGAAUAUGUUAGCAUGGAAUAAUAAUAUAAGACCUCGGUUUUAUUUUGUUGGUUUCUAGAAGCGAGGUAAUGAUUAAUAGGGACAAUUGGGGGGUAUUCGAAUUAACGCGUCAGAGGUGGAAUUCUUGGAUUGCGUUACGACGAACUACUGCGAAAGCAUUUACCAAGGAUGUUUUCAUUGAUCAAGAACGAAAGUCAGGGGAUCGAAGAUGAUUAGAU
rnacentral:rRNA from 1 species